rnacentral:piRNA from 1 species
UAAGGACUCCCUCCUCGAGUAUUGCC